rnacentral:piRNA from 1 species
UGGGCAAACAUGGAUCACAGCUUUCUUU